rnacentral:tRNA from 1 species
GCCCGCCUAGCUCAAUCGGAUAGAGCGUGAGACUUUUACGGCCUCCUAGGCGCGUUGAUCUCAAGGCUGCGGGUUCGACCCCCGCGGUGGGCU